GUCAACCAGGACACACAGGCCCUACAAGAUCCCUGCCCUCCACCAUGGAUGCCUGAGGCUUCCCAUCGGACUGCACCCAUGUCUGUCUGUGCUGGCGCUCUGCCCUGCUCCUGUCUGCAACUGUCUUUUCCUGAGGCGUCCUUAGGGUAGGAAUGCCAAACAGGUUCCGAGUGAUGUGUCAACUCUGAGUAAAUACGAGAGGUUGCUAGGAGCCCCCGGCUGAGGACUGAGAGGCAGGCUAUACCGGGGUUCCAUGUCAAAGAAUGCUGUGAUCCACUAGCAAUGUCUGCCAUGGCAACGCCCAUUAGAAGUACCUGGAAGGAGGGUUUUGGGAACAGGCUCAGAAAGGAACAAGGCAUGUCUGUUCCAUUCUUCCCCUAGGUGGCUGUUUUGCCGGCCAGGCUGCGCUGUCUCAGUGGCCACGUGGCUGAGGAGGAAGUCUCAAGACCACAGAGUUGCAAGUGGCUUCUCUGGGGCCUGCAGGGAAUAGCACAGCCCCAAGCUACAGGAAGCUCGCAAGGGCACCCACGCUGGGUCCUGUGGGGUUCUGCAUACGGCAGGCCACCUGGCAUUAACAGCUCCUGACCCUCUGGAGUCCGUCUCAUCCAGGAGAAGACAACUGGCUGGCCCCAGAGCGUUAGCUGCAACUCGGGGGUAAAAACAUUUACCUCCGGAAAAACUUAGAAACUUUCCAUCCAAACGAAAAGGGUAUAUCUUCUAUAUGUUGCCAAGAAACCUAAACUGAGGACAAGGACAAUUUUACUUUAAUCAAGUUCCAGAAUGAGGGUGCACAGCUUCGAAGAGCAGUCUGUAGCAGAAGACGCGAGGGUGUGUGUAAAGCCGUGUGUCUAGAAUAUACCAAAGGAA